rnacentral:rRNA from 1 species
GACGGAGGAUGCAAGCGUUAUCCGGAAUGAUUGGGCGUAAAACGUCCGCAGGUGGCAGUUCAAGUCUGCUGUCAAAGACCGGGGCUUAACUUCGGAAAGGCAGUGGAAACUGAACAGCUAGAGUAUGGUAGGGGCAGAGGGAAUUCCUGGUGUAGCGGUGAAAUGCGUAGAGAUCAGGAAGAACAUCGGUGGCGAAGGCGCUCUGCUGGACCAUAACUGACACUCAGGGACGAAAGCUAGGGGAGCGAAUGGG